rnacentral:rRNA from 1 species
CAUUAACGAGUUGAACGGGGUUGUAGCUGGCCUUCACAGGCAUGUGCACGCCCUGCUCAUCCACUCUACACCUGUGCACUAUCUGUGGGUUUCGAGCGUCGUGUGGGCCUUCACUGGCUCGUGCGGUAAUCGGGCCUACGUUUAUUACAAACUCUUCAGUAUCAGAAUGUGUAUCGCGAUGUAACGCAUCUAUAUACAACUUUCAGCAACGGAUCUCUUGGCUCUCGCAUCGAUGAAGAACGCAGCGAAAUGCGAUAAGUAAUGUGAAUUGCAGAAUUCAGUGAAUCAUCGAAUCUUUGAACGCACCUUGCGCUCCUUGGUAUUCCGAGGAGCAUGCCUGUUUGAGUGUCGUGAAAUUCUCAACCCAUAAAUCCUUGUGGUUUACGGGCUUGGACUUGGAGGCUUUUGCUGGCUUUGCAGUCGGCUCCUCUCAAAUGCAUUAGCUCGAUUCCUUGCGGAUCGGCUCUCGGUGUGAUAAUUGUCUACGCCGUGACCGUGAAGCGUUUGGCGGGCUUCUAACCGUCUCUAUGAGACAGCUUCAUUGACAUCUGACCUCAAAUCAGGUAGGACUACCCGCUGAACUUAAGCAUAUCAAUAAGCGGAGGA